GGUGGCUCAGAAGGUAGAGUGCAUGCCUUCUAUGCAUCAAAUCCUGAGCUUGAUUCCCAGCACCA
rnacentral:tRNA from 1 species